CGGCAAUGGAGGAAACUCUGACCGAGCAACGCCGCGUGAACGAUGAAGUAUUUCGGUAUGUAAAGUUCUUUUAUUGAAGAAGAAAAAAUAGUGGAAAAACUAUCUUGACGAUAUUCAAUGAAUAAGCCCCGGCAAACUAUGUGCCAGCAGCCGCGGUAAUACAUAGGGGGCGAGCGUUAUCCGGAAUUAUUGGGCGUAAAGGGUGCGUAGGCGGUUUGGUAAGUCUAUAGUUUAAUUUCAGUGCUUAACACUGUUCUGCUAUAGAAACUAUCAGACUAGAGUGAGAUAGAGGCAAGUGGAAUUCCAUGUGUAGCGGUAAAAUGCGUAAAUAUAUGGAGGAACACCAGAGGCGUAGGCGGCUUGCUGGGUCUUUACUGACGCUGAGGCACGAAAGCGUGGGGAGCAAACAGGAUUAGAUACCCUGGUAGUCCACGCCGUAAACGAUGAGUACUAAGUGUCGGGGAAACUCGGUACUGAAGUUAACACAUUAAGUACUCCGCCUGAGUAGUACGUACGCAAGUAUGAAACUUAAAGGAAUUGACGGGACUCCGCACAAGCGGUGGAUCAUGUUGUUUAAUUCGAAGAUACACGAAAAACCUUACCAGGUCCUGACAUACUCUGCAAAGCUAUAGCAAUAUAGUGGAGGUUAUCAGGGAUACAGGUGGUGCAUGGUUGUCGUCAGCUCGUGUCGUGAGAUGUUAGGUUAAGUCCUAAAACGAGCGCAACCCUUGUCACUAGUUGCCAGCAUGUUAUGAUGGGCACUUUAGUGAGACUGCCAAUGAAAAAUUGGAGGAAGGUGAGGAUCACGUCAAAUCAUCAUGCCCCUUAUGAUCUGGGCUACAAACGUGAUACAAUGGCUGUUACAAAGAGUAGCUGAA
rnacentral:rRNA from 1 species